AGAGUUGAUCCUGGCUCAGGAUGAACGCUGGCGGUCUGCUUAACACAUGCAAGUCGAACGGGAUCCUUCGGGAUUUAGUGGCGGACGGGUGAGUAACGCGUGAGAAUCUGCCCUUAGGUUGGGGACAACAGUUGGAAACGACUGCUAGUACCCAAUGUGCCGAGAGGUGAAAGGUUAACUGCCUGGGGAUGAGCUCGCGUCUGAUUAGCUAGUUGGAGUGGUAACGGCACACCAAGGCGACGAUCAGUAGCUGGUCUGAGAGGAUGAUCAGCCACACUGGGACUGAGACACGGCCCAGACUCCUACGGGAGGCAGCAGUGGGGAAUUUUCCGCAAUGGGCGAAAGCCUGACGGAGCAAGACCGCGUGAGGGAGGAAGGCCUAUUGGUUGUAAACCUCUUUUGAUAGGGAAGAACACAAUGACGGUACCUAUCGAAUCAGCAUCGGCUAACUCCGUGCCAGCAGCCGCGGUAAUACGGAGGAUGCAAGCGUUAUCCGGAUUUAUUGGGCGUAAAGCGUCCGUAGGUGGCAAACCAAGUCAGUUGUUAAAGCGUAGAGCUUAACUCUAUAAGGGCAAUUGAAACUGGUUAGCUAGAGUGCGAUAGGGGCAAGGGGAAUUCCCAGUGUAGCGGUGAAAUGCGUAGAUAUUGGGAAGAACACCGGUGGCGAAAGCGCUCGACUGGGCCUGAACUGACACUGAGGGACGAAAGCUAGGGGAGCGAAAGGGAUUAGAUACCCCUGUAGUCCU
rnacentral:rRNA from 1 species